rnacentral:lncRNA from 1 species
AAACUCUUAAGAGAAGAAGACAAAGGAUAGGCUGGCGAGUGACAGGCUGGAAAGGAGAGUCUCUUGCUGUAAAGUAAAAGCAAAAGGAGACCAUGUAUCUAGCAAAAGAAGUGGGCAGAUUCAUGGGAGCCUUUAGCUAGCCAAUAAGGAGCCAGCCUUCCCUUGACCAGAUUCAAAUGGACCAAUUAUCCAUCAGGAAGAGCACAGCCACGACCAAGACCAUCUUUCCAUCUCAUUCAUCCAUUUAAAUUCAAGUUAUAACAGCCCUUAGAUUUAGGUUUAUGAUUGCAAGUUGUAAAGAGCAUAUAUAAGCUCAUAAGUGAUGUUUUGUAACUCUUAAGUGAGUAAGGGGGAUUCCCUUCUCCUUCUCUAAUCUGAAACACUUUCUCUUAGUCUCUCUAGUCUCUCAUCCUGAAUCUCUAUACACGUUCUCAGUCUUGUUACUAAUCUCUUAAACACUUAGACACACAAACACUCAUACCUCAAGAAGAAGGUGUGCUCAUCCAUGGUGUCCAGAAGCUGUCUCUGGCUGAUCUACACUCUCUCAUGAAGCCCAUGAAGAAGAAAGAACCUUGGAAGCAAUGGUGUAUGAGGUGGUCUAAUCAACCAUGCUUCAAAGCUAUGUCCAAGCUAGUUCUUAUCCACUGUCCAAGAAGAAAGGUGAUAGCUUUCAGCUGGUACUGGUGUGGCGAAUUCAACAUGAAGAAAGGUGUGGUCUUUGACAUGGAAAGUUCAAGAGAAAGGUCCAUGGGAGAAGGAGAAGUUGGAAUCGACACCAACAGCUCACUGUCUUGCCAUGUUCUAAGGAGUUUCAAGGAACUAACACUAGUUCCUUGGCUGUAAGGAAAUCUCUUUCUCUUGUAUAAAGCUUGAGUGUAUGAACAGGUUGUGAUGUUGUGAUGUGAUUGAAAAACCUGAGGAUAUGUCUAAGAUUGCUAAAUGAAUAUGUUUUAGAAUCUGGUCCAAGAUGCUUAAAGAGGCUUGUUUGAUGAUUGAGAUUGUUUAAAAUGCUUAAUCCCAGUUCUAAAAUGAAAUGACUUGUUAGGAUGAUAGAUUGUAUUGUCUUAUCCAGCUUGCUUUCAUGAAUUAGAAACUGAUUAAGGUUAAGGCAUUGUGACUUGUUGCUGCCUAAUAUUGAAGCACUAGAUUCAUGUCUAAAUCGCUGAGUAAAGGAGCUUUAAAAUUGCCUAAGUAGCUUGUAUUGAAUCUGUUAUGAUCUUGCUGGUGCUUAGAGAAUUAGCUUGCAAAGAAUAGAACUUGAUAAUGCCUUGUGUCUAUCUGUUGCAUUGCUUGUGAUAUUGGGAAUCAAACUUGAUGAUUUAUUAAUCAAGAAUUGACAUCAAUACUAUUGAAAAUGGUUAAAUGCUUAAUGUCAGUUAUAAAUUAACUUGUCUUGUUAAGAUGAUAGAUUAUAUUAUCUAAUCAUGCUUACUUUCAUGAGUUAGAAACUGAUUAAGAUUAAUGCAUACUGCCUUGUAUUGUUGCAUUUAGAUUAAAAUCUAAGUUGCAUAAAAUUGCCUAAAUACUUUGACUUGAAUCUGAUAAGGUCUUGCUUAGUAUUUAGAGAAUGGUUGCUUGCAUAGAUAAGAACUUGACAUUGUCUUGAUUCUAUCUAAUGUUAUAAAGCUUGAGACAUUGGUGAUCAAACUUGAUGAAGUCAAGGAUUGAUCACAAUGCAAUUGUGUCUUAUCUUUGCUAGAGUUUGAGUGAUGUUUCAGAUUCACAAAAGAUGUUCCUAGCUCAGCAUCAAAUCCAAGUUGAAAGAGAAAGAAUGAUGCCCAUUGUGUGUACAAUGGAGAGGUGUUACAAGAAGGGAGAAGCACCGAUGGUUGUAAAACUCACUGGUGUUCUUCUUCUUACCAUUGCAAGUACCUGAAGAAGAAGCCAACUGGGUAUAGGCAGUGGCGUGCCUAUUCAAGAGGGUGCUCAAACUAAGACAGAGCACUCUUGGCUGUGUGAAGAAGAAGGCUACUCUAUCAAGGCGGCUUCUAUUGUGAGGUGAUUGAAGAAGUAGCUGAAGCAUCCACAAGCAUUCCAUCAUGGUGGUGAAUUCAGAAGGGUGAUUGCAAUAAGAGAAGAAGAAGAAGUGAGGAUUCAAGUGGCAACUUUAAGAACCACUCCUCAUCACCUUAAACAAGGGAGUAAACCUAGUCUCAUCUAUCUUAAUAUGUCUUGAUAGGUUUAUCUCCUGAUUAUACUAUGUGCUUUCCCUAAUUCCAUUAAGAGUUUAUAGCUUCUAAGUAGAAUGUCUAGGCUAAUUGCACUGAAAUUGUUUUGCUGCUGCAUUGUCUUAUUGAUAGUAAGUAAUGUCUAGAGUCCCAGAAUCUCAUGUUCUGUUUAUUGCAUUGUCUUGAGUGUUGUCAUAGCUUGAAUCAUCAUGAAUGUGUUGUAGAAUUGAGUAGAAUGUCUCUGCUGCUUGCAUCAUGAUUGAUAAGUUAUUUUGCAUACAUAAGCAUAUCUCAUACUGUCUAAGUUCAAUCCUAGUGUUAUCUGAUGCUAUUGCCUAUGUUUAAUCCAUCAAUGAAAGUCUUGCAUCAAUUAGAAAUUGUCUAAGUUGCUUGCAUCAUUGGUUCUGAUUGAAACUGUUGUGCAGAGCUUUAAUAUUACUCAUGGAUUGAACCUGUUGCAUUCAUAUAGCUAAUGCUUUAAGAUUGUGCAUUCAUGUAGUAAUGCAUUUAAAAAUGAGCCUAAAUUGCAAAUGUACUGAUAUAAGCUUUGCAUUUAGAGAACUGUAUAGAACUUGCAUUGUCAUUGUUAGAAAUUGAAAUCUGCUUGUCUUGACUCAGUCCAGUUCUGAUUGUUGCUAUGCCAUAGUUAAAUCCAUCAGUGAUGUCUUAUAAGCAUUUAGAAGUAUGUCUAAGCUACUUGAAUCAUUGGCUUUGAUAAAACUAGUGAGCAUAAGCAUGAAUUGAGUCACUCUUGUCGCCUUGAUUGCAUAAGUAUCAUCUAGGCUUGUGUUCCAUUUGGGUUAAAUCUAUUUCAUUCAUAUAGUGAGUAUGUAACCUAAUGCAUUCAUUUAUUGUUGCAUUUAAAAAAAAAAAAAACUGAAUUGAUUGUCUUUGCUUGAUUGUCUUGAUUGUCUAGCUUAUUUCAAGUAUCAUAUAUUAUUGUGGCAUUGGUGAUCAAACAGGCUGGAUAAUCUUGGUUUGAUCCCAAUGGGAUGAUCUGAUCUUGCAUUGAGUUGUGGUGGUGUUAGGUACACAAGGAGUGUGAUACAUGUAACUCGCCAACAGCAAAGAAUGUAGAGACAAAGGUCUUAUGCCAUUGCAUAUCAUCACUAGGACAUGUUAGUCCAUAAUCUACAGGAAGUGUAGUGUGAUUGAUUAUGCAAUGAGAGAUGGCCAUUGCAUAAUACCAUUGGACAUAUCCAGUCCAAAGACUAUAGGAAGUGUAGCAUGGAUCAUUAUCCAAUGAGAAGUGUGUCUUGUGAGUCUCUCCAUGGUGAUUCAAACACCCUAGUUCCUGGUUAAGGAAGAGAGUAAACUCACAAGAAGAAAGCUAUCAUGAAAGACUGAUAGUUAUAAGACCAUGAGGAUGCAUAUGAUCAUCACAAGCUUAGCUCCUUAUAGUCUAAGCUUGAGGGGGAGUCUUAAUGCAUAUGAUCCAUGGUCAGUAACAAGUAAUUGCAAAGGCUUCUACAAAGGAUCAUCAGCCGGAGUUAUUCUAGGUAGUCUAAGGGUGAAGGUGAACUGAUAAAAGCGGCUUAUAUGGUGAAGUGAUUGAUGAGAAGCUGAUGAAUCCAUUCUGCCUUUCCAAGAAGUUGAUGAUGCCAUGGAGAUGGUGCAAUGGCCGAGUGGGAACUCACCAAAACAAAAGGGAAGUGUCCUAAGCUCAAUUCAAUUCAAUACAUUCAUCAUUUCAAAUCAAAGUCUAGAAAUGAUACUUAAAAUGAUUGAAUGGAUUGUGUGAUGUUUCUUGAUAAGUACUGAUGCACCUUUGGGAUAAGUAUCAGGUACCCAUUGCUUGAGCCUCACUAAAGAUGUUCCUGGUCAGUUCCUAGCUUCUCUAAGAUGGCUGAGAAGUCAGUUGAGAGGGGGAGACUUCAAACCGGUUCCAUGAAGAGGUGAAGCUGAAGUGUGAAGUGUGCGCAAAGCUGUGAAGAGUUGCUGCACCUAUUAGGCCGUGAUCCAGAGCUUCUUGUGUCCAACCACACUGGUUCUAAGGCACAAGAGCUCACUGGCCAAUCCCUAGGCUUUGGAGAGCUCUACUCUUUUUCCCUUGCAAGGUUUUGUCCCAAUGGGUUUUCCUUGUAAGGUUUUUAAUGAGGGAGACUCUUCAGAGUUCCAAGCUUGGCUUAGGAUCUCCUAAAGUCAAGCUUGAGGGGGAGUGUUGAACUGAAGAGAAGAAUGGAGCUUGUGCAUAAAUAGGGCAAGCUUCAGGUGAUCUCCGGAAGAGUUCUACAAAGCUUCAGGAGAGUCUUGAAGUAUCUAUCAUGGGUGAAGUUAAGUCCAAGAAGGGCUUAGACUGAUCUUAAGAAGACAUGGAAGGAGUUUGGAGGUGAAUGGUUGAGUUUGUAAACUUAGGGCGAGGCCGUACGGAUUUGGUACGGACGUGUACGGACCGUACGGAUCCGUACGGACCUUUCCGACCCAAAAGUUCAUGACUCGACCAUUUGAGCACAUUUGAAGUUGGUGCAAAAAUAGGGCACUGGUGAAACUCUUAAGAGAAGAAGACAAAGGAGAGGCUGGUGAAACUCUUAAGAGAAGAAGACAAAGGAGAGGCUGGUGAAACUCUUAAGAGAAGAAGACAAAGGAUAGGCUGGCGAGUGACAGGCUGGAAAGGAGAGUCCCUUGCUGUAAAGUAAAAGCAAAAGGAGACCAUGUAUCUAGCAAAAGAAGUGGGCAGAUUCAUGGGAGCCUUUAGCUAGCCAAUAAGGAGCCAGCCUUCCCUUGACCAGAUUCAAAUGGACCAAUUAUCCAUCAGGAGGAGCACAGCCACGACCAAGACCAUCUUUCCAUCUCAUUCAUCCAUUUAAAUUCAAGUUAUAACAGCCCUUAGAUUUAGGUUUAUGAUUGCAAGUUGUAAAGAGCAUAUAUAAGCUCAUAAGUGAUGUUUUGUAACUCUUAAGUGAGUAAGGGGGAUUUCCCCUCCUCCUUCAUAAUCUCAUGAUACUUUGUCUC